ensembl:lncRNA
AAACGGGCUGGGACGGGCUGCCUGGCAGACCGGGGCCGGGGGGCCGGGCCCCCGGGACUCGCGGACCCCGCUGCGGAAGGGAUUCUAGCCGCUGUGUGACCUGUGGAUCCGGGGUCGGACUCGCCCUCCAGUUUUCGGCCUAGUCUUUCAACUAAAGAGAAAUAAAAAGAUGAGCCUCCUGGCAACUUCCUCUGUCUGUUUCAUGGGACUACAUUCAAGGAUAUCCAAGACUGGAGGAUUUACAGAGCUCCAGAGCCGCCUGGGGGGAUGCUGAUGGAGUCCUGGGAUGCCAUGCUGCUGUCAUUUGCAUUGUUUUUUCCCAAGAUGGGUUGGUGAAGAACCCAUAUUGAGUUUCUUGUGGGGGAUCUGCAGUUGGAUUCUUUUGAAGGUUGAUUGAGAAGAGGAGGGCUUUUUCCAUUGAAGCAAGGAGAUUUUGCUUCAUCUCUUUCUUUUUUAUACAAUGCUGAUCUUUAAAAGGCAAAGAAUUGCUGAGGUGGGAGAAGAUGAAGCAGCUUAUUCCAGACAUGUCAAAACAUACUGCCAUCUUUCCUCAGAACUGAUGGAGACAAUCCCUGAAGUUUUGGGAAUAGCAGUUCUUGUGACCUGGUAUCCACAGCCAUCAUCCUGUGAAGGAAUCCCUGUGGAGAUGUCGUCUGGCAACUGUCUCUGCAGGGACUACAGAUGAAGCCAUCAAAGACCCCAAAGAAAAAGUUCUUGGCACUUUUGAUAGACUUAACAUCAGAAAUGGAUAUGAUUUUAUUAGAGCAAUUAAUGUGAAAGACAACCCUAAAUUCAUUCAUUUAUUUAGAAGUUGUCAAACUCAGGAAUUAGUUCAUUUUACUUUCUGUUUUAUUAUACAACUUUUUUUUUAAUUUAAAUUUUAUGAAGAAAUGUUAAAUAUUUUAUGUACAUGAAUAAUUUCUCUAUGACCCAGUAAAUCAUUGAAAUGCCUCUGACAGUUGUGUCACAAUCUCUCCUGAGGUCUGUGGGAUUUUUCCAUAUGAUUUGCAGCUGAAAUUCCCUAUGGAUUGUCUCUCCCAUUACAAUAUGAGCUCCUCAAAAGCAGGAACUAUCUUAUCUUUUUCUGCAUAUCCCCAUUAGCACAGGGCUUUACACAUA